UACGAAGGGGACUAGCGUUGUUCGGAUUUACUGGGCGUAAAGGGCGCGUAGGCUGUAGAAUAAGUCAGGUGUGAAAUCCCCGGGCUCAACCUGGGAACUGCAUUUGAUACUGUUUUACUUGAGUAUGGGAGAGGUGAGCGGAAUUCCGAGUGUAGAGGUGAAAUUCGUAGAUAUUCGGAAGAACACCGAUGGCGAAGGCAGCUCACUGGACCAUAACUGACGCUGAGGCGCGAAAGCGUGGGGAUCAAACAGG
rnacentral:rRNA from 1 species